GAUGAACGCUGGCGGCGUGCUUAACACAUGCAAGUCGAACGAAGCAUUUAAGACAGAUUACUUCGGUUUGAGGUCUUUUAUGACUGAGUGGCGGACGGGUGAGUAACGCGUGGGUAACCUGCCUCAUACAGGGGGAUAGCAGCUGGAAACGGCUGGUAAUACCGCAUAAGCGCACAGUACCACAUGGUACAGUGUGAAAAACUCCGGUGGUAUGAGAUGGACCCGCGUCUGAUUAGCUUGUUGGCGGGGUAACGGCCCACCAAGGCGACGAUCAGUAGCCGACCUGAGAGGGUGACCGGCUACAGUGGGACUGAGACACGGCCCAGACUCCUACGGGAGGCAGCAGUGGGGAAUAUUGCACAAUGGAGGAAACUCUGAUGCAGCGACGCCGCGUGAGUGAAGAAGUAGUUCGCUAUGUAAAGCUCUAUCAGCAGGGAAGAUAGUGACGGUACCUGAAUAAGAAGCUCCGGCUAAAUACGU
rnacentral:rRNA from 1 species